rnacentral:rRNA from 1 species
UGAGGAAUAUUGCACAAUGGGCGCAAGCCUGAUGCAGCAACGCCGCGUGCGGGACGAAGGCCUUCGCGUCGUAAACCGCUCUUCUGGGGAAAGAGCAAGGACGGUACCUCAGGAAUAAGUCUCGGCUAACUACGUGCCAGCAGCCGCGGUAAUACGUAGGAGGCGAGCGUUAUCCGGAUUUACUGGGCGUAAAGCGCACGCAGGAGGCUCUGUGAGUCGGACGUGAAAGCUCCCGGCUUAACCGGGAGAGGCCGAUCGAUACGGCGGGGCUUGAGGUAGAGAGAGGAAGGCGGAAUUCCCGGUGUGGGGAUGGAAUGCGUAGAUAUCGGGAGGAACACCUGGUGCGAAAGCGGCAUUCUGGCCCUCGCCUGACGCUGAGGUGCGAAAGCGUGGGUAGCAAACA